UGUUUGCAGUCUUUGCACUUUGCAUAAGUUGAAUUUUUUGCACGGCCUAUACCUAACCUAAAAUAUUAUAAAACAAUGUAUGUAAAGGAAACAUAGAACAUAAUUCAAAUAAAGUCAAAAUGAAGAUCAUAUUUGUUUAGCCAACACUUGUGUUAAAUAGAUUUUAAUCAAUAAAAAAGUAAUUUAACCUUAAUUCAGUUAAACAGGUUAGUCAAUAAAAUAAGUUUUAUUAGUAUAAAAUAUUAACCAUUGAUUUAAUACAAAAAGGUUUAAUUUUAAUCCAUAAAAAUAAUUAAAGUAAUGCUUAAGGUCACUAAAAGUUAAUGCUAUGAUCAAAUAUAAUAAUAAGAGCAUCCACAAUAGUUGCAUAAAAGGACCUGCUUGCAUUUUCUAAGAGCACUCAAAUCAGUGAGCAAAAAAAAAAAUUUGCUUAUUCUCUCUCUAGCCACUUUCUCUCUCUUCCCACCUUAAUUUGUUUAUGAACAUAUUUUAUUCCACUAGUGAUAAAAAAAAAUGCUCAUCAUUCUCUCUCCUACUUUUUUACAUACCCCACCAACAUUUCUUUCUCUUACACAUCACCAUAUUAUUAUUAAUUAUGUUUUGGUUAAUGAAUUUUUAGUGCUACUAAUUAUAAUUAAUGACGUCAGUUUUGAUGAUGAGUAGGGCCCACGCUUUUACUGUUCAUUGUUAAUUUUGCUCAUCCUAUGAGCAUUUUCUAAGUUGCUCAUGACUCAUGAGCAUUUUCCACUUUGCUCAUUGAUAUAGUAACAUUUUACCCAUUUUUGCUCAUCAAUUUUGCUCAUGAGUAAAAAAAAUGCUCACUGAUGUGAGUGCUUUAAAUAAUGUAGAGCCACAUGCUACUGAUGCUAGCCACUGUGGAGCUACAUAGGUUGUAGUUAAGUCAAAGCUAUGUAGUUUCACUCCACCCAACACACAUAUAUUAAUUUGUUUAAUAUUUUUUAUUUAUUUGUUUAUUUGUUUGUUUGUUUAUUUGUUUAUUAUUUUAUUUUUUUAUGAUUUAUUUAUUACAAAAGGAUGUAGUUUAUUAUUGUAGAGGUUGUAGCUUUAAUCAUGUAGCUUAAGGAUUAAUAAUGUGGCAACCCAAAGCUACAUGUACAUAAAGCUCACCAUUGAGGAUGCUCUAAGUCUAAGGUAUCAAUUAAAAUAAGUUUUAAUACGUAAAAAUAAUUUCAAUACUUUUUAAUUCAUUAUAAGUAAUUUUAGCUCAACAAAAAUUAGGUGAAUACAACAUGAGUUUAGUCAAUUGAAUAGAUAAUCCCAAUUAAAUACUUGACAAGAAAGCUAUAAAUUAAAGAGUACAAUGCCUACAAAAAUACAAGUAGUUGUUUAAAGGUAUUUUUAGAGGGUCACAUCUUUUUAUUUGAAGCUUUGUUUAGGACAAGUAAUAUCUCUUUAUAAUUCACAUUGAGUUAUGUUAUGAGUCAAUAGGUGCUGCAUUGUAUGGAAUUUCAUAGAAUUCAAUGGUGUCAAUUUUGCUUAGUUCAUACAUUGUUUAUUCAAAGACAAAUCGAUCAUGUGUUCCAUACCAAAGAGUUUGAACCAAUUAAUCUAUGUAUUAACAUUAAAACCCACAAUAUGGAUUCAACCAGUAAUUAAUUGGUAAAAUUUGCAAAGACAAGUCUGUCUUAUUCAAUGUUAGGUGUGGUGUAAGUAGACACAUUGCCAAGCGUGGGUUUGCCUUCAUCAUGAUCUUUCAAUAACAAAUUAUCCAAAUUCUACCUUGGGUUUGUUGGUUUGAACUUGCACAAAAAUGUUUGGGUUAUUCAAGAUAUCUUGAACCAUUAAAAGUAGAACUCUAAUUAAUAAUUAAGAAUUUUCCUUACCAUUCAACAACUUAAUAACAAGUAUUAAACCAUUUUCGCUUUCAAAGUUAUGAGAAAAGCACAUUUCACACGUAUUAAUUAGGUUUAACGUCUUUGUUAGGUAUUUAAUCGCGUAAUUUAGUUCAUAUUAAGUAAUAAUUAGCCUUCCUAUUCCUAAUAUGCAUGUAACCUAAACGCAACUAUGUGUGCAUGCAUGCUACCCUAUCCUAAUCUAAAUCAAUCACAUCCUCAUAUAUUAUUGGACUAACCUCUAAUUAAAACACGUUGAGUCAGUUCAACCCGUUUAUUAUUUUCAUUAAAUUCUAUAACCUUUAAAUUGAUCUUUCCUUUCCAUUGAUUGACAAAGCAAACAAUUUGUACUAUUUGCACUUGCAUAAACUUUGCAUAAUACAAGACAUACAUUAGAAUACUUGGGCCACACUCUUAACAACUAUUUUUUGGAAUUUUUGUGCCUUUUUGAUGAUAAACUAGCAAGAUAAAUGGUUGGACAUGUUUAGCCUUAUGAUAUGUUACAACUCACUAGUUUUAAGAUAUUUACCUAAUUUUACCACCCCAAAUUCUGUAGAAUUGUUGAAGCUUCUACUUGUUUAUGUCAAUAGUCUAAGGUUUGUAGCUAGCUAGGUUUUAUGUAAAAGUGAGAAAAAUAACAUCCUUCUAUGGUUUGGAAUAAUGAGUAAAUUACUUGCUCAACUAGGGAAUUGAAGUCAUACUAUUCUUUGCAAACAAAUCUACUGUGAGGUAUAUGACCUUUUUCAUAUAUAUAUUGGUGGAGUAAUGAGUAUAUAAUGGUAGGUUGAAGUAAUCUAGCAUAUAAUGGUAGGUUGAAGUAAUCUAGCAUAAACAACUAAUGCUUAGAUGUUUUUUUAUCUUAGGGGAUGGGAGAAAUACUCCUUGUACUGUGAAUUUAUAGUUGAAUCCACUUAUUCUGAUGGGUUAACAUAAUUUUUGUAAUUUAAUGAAGUUUGACGAAGUGUGCAUGGUGCUCCCUUUCGAUGAUUUAUUUCUUUUAGAAUAUACGAGUACAACUACAAGAAUAUAUAUUUUUGUCAAAAUAAAGUCUCGCCACAUAUAACUAAAAUGAAAUUGUAUCCUAAAAUCAAUGACAUAUACGAAGUAUGGCUUUAGAUGUUGAGGUCCUCUAGACUUAAAUGUUAGUUAUUAGUUAAUGUUCCUCUUCAUCAAUCUGGGACACUUUAUAUACAAACAGUGGCGGACUUGGGCUUAGACCUGGUGGGUCAAGUGACUCACCAGGCCCAAAUUUAAGUUAUUAAAAAAAAAAAAAAAAAAAAAAACUAAAAUCAGUUUUCCCAAAUGACCAAAUCACGAAUUGAUUUCAAGCCCUAGCCUUCUUCAGUUCUUCUCUUCGCCAAUUCGCCUCUUCCCUUUAAUCCUUCAUCAAUCAUCUCCAACUCCAAUUCGCCUCUUCGCUAGUUCGCUUCGUCUUCCUCUUCGCAUAAUUUCAGUGCUCUUCGCGACUUCGCUAGCUUGCUCACGCCUCCAGUGCUGGCUGUGCUGCUGGCCUGCUGGCUGCUGCUCGCCUGCUGCCCUGCUCCACUGCUCUGUGCUCUGUCCUCUGUGCUCACCGCUCUUCGCUUCGUCGCUUCUUCUAAAGUCUAAUCUCCUAUUUUCAUUUUGCUAAAUGAAGAGAAAACGCACUCCAAAUGAAAUGCAAAACAUUACUAGCUUCUUUGCUAAAAAGAAUCCUACUUCAACUUCUCUUCCACAUCCAACACAAAAUGAACAAACUAUAUCUCCACCUCAACAAAGUGAACAAACUAUAUCUCCACCUCAAGAAAGUGAACAACAUUCAUCUCCAUCUAAUUAUUCAACUCAAAAUUCCCCUCAAAAUGAACAAGGCCAAUGUUCUCCUAAUGCCCCAAUCUUUGGUGAAAGAUUAAGUGAACAUGAAUUUGCUAAUCUUCCACAAGAUCCAGGAAAGAGGAGAAAGAUGAGUCAAUUUCAUAAAGAUGAUAGAGAUUUACUAUUUAGUUGUCUUUUGUAGUAUUAUAUGAACAUUUGGUUGUAUUUUGUACUGUUUGAAUAUUUGGAUGUAUUUUUUAGUACUAUUAUUUGGUUGUUCGAUAAAUUUUUUUUUUACAUACUUGAUUAUCGAUUUUGACCCACCAGUCGGAAAUUCCUGGGUCCGCCACUGUAUACAAACUGAAGUACGGUUUUUUUUUGAGGGAAAUUGAAGUAUGAGUUUUGCUAAGUGUAAUACCAUAAUAGGAAUUAAAAAGAAACAAAACACUAAUGACAAUUUUAGAGCUAGCUUUACACGCAACAGAUAAGG